AUUGAACGCUGGCGGCAGGCCUAACACAUGCAAGUCGAGCGAGCGGCGGACGGGUGAGUAAUGUAUGGGGAUCUGCCCGAUAGAGGGGGAUAACUACUGGAAACGGUGGCUAAUACCGCAUACUAUUGGAGCGGCCGAUAUCGGAUUAGCUAGUUGGUGGGGUAAAGGCUCACCAAGGCAACGAUCCGUAGCUGGUUUGAGAGGACGACCAGCCACACUGGGACUGAGACACGGCCCAGACUCCUACGGGAGGCAGCAGUGGGGAAUUUUGGACAAUGGGUGAAACCCUGAUCCAGCCAUCCCGCGUGUAUGAUGAAGGCCUUAGGGUUGUAAAGUACUUUCAGCGGGGAGGCGUUACCCGCAGAAGAAGCACCGGCUAACUCCGUGCCAGCCGCCGCGGUAAUUC
rnacentral:rRNA from 1 species